AAAAAAACAAAAUAAAGAAAAAAAAGGAAAGAAUACUAAUUAGGAAACUCAAAAAAUGAACCGGCAAAGAAGAAAAAUAUCAAGAGAUUGUAGACAACUCCAUUGCUUGAAUUCUAUAAAGCUCCAUCGCCGGUGAAAUCGACAACUAGGAGCUACAACAACAUCUGAUAUGAAAUCUGUUUUGAGAAGUGUAACCUUGAUCCAAAACUAUGCUUCUUUUUCUCGCAGGUAAGACUUCUUAUCUUUGAUAAAAAAAAUCAAUAGGUUAAACCCCAUAGAAAUUGUAUCACCACUGAGGAUUAGAUCCUUGAAUAGGCCAUUAAUUUAACCUUUUCGACGUCAGUAGGUAUGAAGCUGAUACUUUGGGAACACAAUGUAGAUCUGAGAUAUGAACACCUAGCCUUAAGCAUAAAGAACCUAGUAAACCUAAAUAAAGUAAAUUUCUUUACUAUAACAAUCACUUGGUUGAAUCCAAAAAACUACCACUAAUGUUAUAAUCUCAAAUUAACACCGAUUUAUCUUUACUAUCAAGAGCUUCAGUCUUGGAAGUGGUCUUGAAAGACAAAACUCAUCCAACAUAAUGAGAAUAUUUUAAGAAACAUAAAGAGGUAUAUCUCGAAUAUCAAAGAACAAUCUCAAUUUCUUAUCUCUCAACUUCAAUUACUUGAACCCAGAGGUUAAUACCACCAUUAUUAGUUAAGAAUUUAAAAUUUAAAAUAUCCAUGAGUCAACUAAAAAUCGAUCUAUGAAUACAUAGAAUAAGUGUCAAGAAUACACUACUUAUAUCUUCUAUUUGAGUUUCAUCCUAUAUGCAACACCUCAGAGCUCUGACCAGGUGCAUGGUAUUGUAACCAACAAAAACUAAUUCAAACAUCAUUAGUAAUGUAGGUAGAUUAUUUCUUAAUACAAAGUUGUAGUAUUCAUCAGUAACUAGAGAUGAACAAUUAUGAAGUAUUUAUUGAACCUGAUUGCCUAAUCCUCAUGUUUGGAGUACAACUUAGGGAAACAGUUAGAGAUACUUUACAAUUCUUAGCUUUGAAACAAAACUUUCCACUAUUUCACUAAGUCUAACUUAUGGGUACUCUAUAACUUAAACCUUAUAGACAAAAGUUAUAACUUAUGUUUGAUGAGAAAUGUACCUAUGUUUUAACUUUUGCCUAUAAAGUAGAACUUGUGGUUCAUUGUGUAGGUUACUUGUCUUGAAAUAUCUAUUUUACAAGUAAAAGUUAGAACGAUUGUCUUAUGGAUAAAAUUUAUUAAUUUAGGCCCAUAAAUCAAAGGCCACUUUUGCUAAACUUUUCUUAUGGGAGACAAAAUAUACCGACCAUCCCAUUUUAGGAUCAUUUCUGAACUUGAACAAAUCAUUUAAACAUAUUAGUGCGCCUUAAUGUAUCUCCCCUGAAAAGGGUAAAAAUUUCCCUUAUGUACAAAAUUAGAGCCAUUUUUAUCAAUAGUAGCAACACUUUAUAGUUUAUCAAACCUAUACAAGCAUGGUAAAAUAUGGAUGAAACAAGGCUUACAAUAGAUUUUGUAUGAUCUUUCUACCUAAAACUAUGUUAUCAUCUUUCCCAUUUUUUCCUGUUUGUUCCAUAAUUCCAAUAUCAAUAAAGUUGCGUCUUAAUCAAUUUUAAUACACUAUCAAAAUAUUCUACUUACUCCAUUAAAAUUUCAAUUGGAUUCCCUGUAACAUCUUUUUCUACUAACAAGGAUUGAAAAGAUAAUUAACAAAUAUAUAUUGAUAAACUAGGCAGUUCCAAAUAUUAUAUGUAAGUUGUUAUUGUAAGCAAACUCUACUAAAGGUAGAUACCGUCCCAACUACAACAAAAAUCAAGAACUCAAUGCCUCAACAUGUUUUCCAGUAUCUAAUGGUUCACUCUGUCUAUCUGUCCGUCUGCAGGUGAAAUACAGUACUCAAAUCCACUCAUGUUCGCAACAUUUCUUGGCAUGGUUCCAGAAGUUCUUAGUGAAGUAAUGUUCCCUAUAUGACAUAAUAGAUACCGGAACCUUGAAGCCUGGCAAUUUUAGUCAUAUAAAAUCUGUAUUAGGUGCACCAGUAUAGGUAGCUUUGGGGUAUGAAGUUUGUUGAAUUUGUCAAUCGAUCAACGCUACCCAUAUAGAAUCAAACACUUUACAAUUUAUAAGAAUCCCAUUACAACAUCCAUGGUGAUAUUCUCUCACUUCUAUCCUUGUCAUGUUUAGGAUAAUUUUGCUCGUCUUUUUUUGUCUCAAAGGAAAAAGUUAUGAAUUGUCUAUUUUUAAUAAGCACAUAUUCAUAUCCCACUUGAGAGGCAUCAUAAUAAAUUGUAAAUUCUAUAAUUGUCGAUGGAAGUACUAACAUUGGGGUUGUUUUCAAAUGUUCUUUGUGUUGUUGAAAACUCUAUCUGCAUGCCUCUAACCAUUGGAAUUUCACAUUCAUUUAUAUUAGCUUUGUCGAAGGUGCAACUAUCUUAGAGAAUCCCACAUGUAACAACUAUCAUAGCCCACGAGACUUAAGAAUUUAUAUCUAGACCACAAUUGUUGGCUUCUCUACUUCUUUACUGCUUCCACUUUCUUUGAGUCUACUAAGAUAACUUCUUAAGAUAAAAUAGGUCCUAGGAAGUCAAAUUGGUUAAACAAAUUUCACCAUUAGAGGCC
rnacentral:lncRNA from 1 species